UACGUAGGGGGCAAGCGUUGUCCGGAAUCAUUGGGCGUAAAGAGCGUGUAGGCGGCCCGAUAAGUCCGCUGUGAAAGUCCAGGGCUCAACCCUGGGAUGCCGGUGGAUACUGUCGGGCUCGAGUCCGGAAGAGGAGUGUGGAAUUCCUGGUGUAGCGGUGAAAUGCGCAGAUAUCAGGAGGAACACCAAUGGCGAAGGCAGCUCUCUGGGACGGUACUGACGCUGAGACGCGAAAGCGUGGGGAGCAAACAGG
rnacentral:rRNA from 1 species